rnacentral:rRNA from 1 species
AUUGAACGCUGGCGGCAUGCCUAACACAUGCAAGUCGAACGGGGCAGCAAUGCCUAGUGGCGGACGGGUGAGGAAUACGUAGGAAUCUGCCCUUAAGUGGGGGAUAACCAGGGGAAACCCUGACUAAUACCGCAUGAUCUCUUCGGAGCAAAGAGGGGGACCGCAAGGCCUCUCGCUUCUGGAUGAGCCUACGUCUGAUUAGCUAGUUGGUAGGGUAAAGGCCUACCAAGGCGACGAUCAGUAACUGGUCUGAGAGGAUGAUCAGUCACACCGGAACUGAGACACGGUCCGGACUCCUACGGGAGGCAGCAGUGGGGAAUAUUGGACAAUGGGCGCAAGCCUGAUCCAGCAAUGCCGCGUGUGUGAAGAAGGCCUUCGGGUUGUAAAGCACUUUAGCCUGGAAAGAAAUGGCUCUGGUUAAUACCUGGGGUCGAUGACGGUACCGGAAGAAUAAGGACCGGCUAACUACGUGCCAGCCGCCGCCGUAAUAC